rnacentral:miRNA from 1 species
CGGGAGAUGACUACUGGAAGC